AGUGGGGGAUCUUGCGCUAAUGCGCGAAAGCGUGACGCAGCGACGCCGCGUGGGGGAUGAAGGCCCUCGGGUUGUAAACCCCUUUCGGCAGGGACGAAGCGAAAGUGACGGUACCUGCAGAAGAAGUCCCGGCUAACUACGUGCCAGCAGCCGCGGUAACACGUAGGGGACGAGCGUUGUCCGGAUUCAUUGGGCGUAAAGCGCGCGUAGGCGGCUCGGAAAGUCGGUCGUGAAAGGCUGGGGCUCAACCCCGGGACUGCGUCCGAUACUUCCGAGCUGGAGGUAGGUAGGGGAGAUCGGAAUUCCUGGUGUAGCGGUGAAAUGCGCAGAUAUCAGGAGGAACACCGGUGGCGAAGGCGGAUCUCUGGGCCUUACCUGACGCUGAGGCGCGAAAGCUAGGGGAGCGAA
rnacentral:rRNA from 1 species